UUAAGCGACUAAGCGUACACGGUGGAUGCCCUGGCAGUCAGAGGCGAUGAAGGACGUGCUAAUCUGCGAUAAGCGUCGGUAAGGUGAUAUGAACCGUUAUAACCGGCGAUUUCCGAAUGGGGAAACCCAGUGUGUUUCGACACACUAUCAUUAACUGAAUCCAUAGGUUAAUGAGGCGAACCGGGGGAACUGAAACAUCUAAGUACCCCGAGGAAAAGAAAUCAACCGAGAUUCCCCCAGUAGCGGCGAGCGAACGGGGAGCAGCCCAGAGCCUGAAUCAGUGUGUGUGUUAGUGGAAGCGUCUGGAAAGGCGCGCGAUACAGGGUGACAGCCCCGUACACAAAAAUGCACAUGCUGUGAGCUCGAUGAGUAGGGCGGGACACGUGGUAUCCUGUCUGAAUAUGGGGGGACCAUCCUCCAAGGCUAAAUACUCCUGACUGACCGAUAGUGAACCAGUACCGUGAGGGAAAGGCGAAAAGAACCCCGGCGAGGGGAGUGAAAAAGAACCUGAAACCGUGUACGUACAAGCAGUGGGAGCACGCUUCGGCGUGUGACUGCGUACCUUUUGUAUAAUGGGUCAGCGACUUAUAUUCUGUAGCAAGGUUAACCGAAUAGGGGAGCCGAAGGGAAACCGAGUCUUAACUGGGCGUUAAGUUGCAGGGUAUAGACCCGAAACCCGGUGAUCUAGCCAUGGGCAGGUUGAAGGUUGGGUAACACUAACUGGAGGACCGAACCGACUAAUGUUGAAAAAUUAGCGGAUGACUUGUGGCUGGGGGUGAAAGGCCAAUCAAACCGGGAGAUAGCUGGUUCUCCCCGAAAGCUAUUUAGGUAGCGCCUCGUGAAUUCAUCUCCGGGGGUAGAGCACUGUUUCGGCAAGGGGGUCAUCCCGACUUACCAACCCGAUGCAAACUGCGAAUACCGGAGAAUGUUAUCACGGGAGACACACGGCGGGUGCUAACGUCCGUCGUGAAGAGGGAAACAACCCAGACCGCCAGCUAAGGUCCCAAAGUCAUGGUUAAGUGGGAAACGAUGUGGGAAGGCCCAGACAGCCAGGAUGUUGGCUUAGAAGCAGCCAUCAUUUAAAGAAAGCGUAAUAGCUCACUGGUCGAGUCGGCCUGCGCGGAAGAUGUAACGGGGCUAAACCAUGCACCGAAGCUGCGGCAGCGACGCUGAUGCGUUGUUGGGUAGGGGAGCGUUCUGUAAGCCUGCGAAGGUGUGCUGUGAGGCAUGCUGGAGGUAUCAGAAGUGCGAAUGCUGACAUAAGUAACGAUAAAGCGGGUGAAAAGCCCGCUCGCCGGAAGACCAAGGGUUCCUGUCCAACGUUAAUCGGGGCAGGGUGAGUCGACCCCUAAGGCGAGGCCGAAAGGCGUAGUCGAUGGGAAACAGGUUAAUAUUCCUGUACUUGGUGUUACUGCGAAGGGGGGACGGAGAAGGCUAUGUUGGCCGGGCGACGGUUGUCCCGGUUUAAGCGUGUAGGCUGGUUUUCCAGGCAAAUCCGGAAAAUCAAGGCUGAGGCGUGAUGACGAGGCACUACGGUGCUGAAGCAACAAAUGCCCUGCUUCCAGGAAAAGCCUCUAAGCAUCAGGUAACAUCAAAUCGUACCCCAAACCGACACAGGUGGUCAGGUAGAGAAUACCAAGGCGCUUGAGAGAACUCGGGUGAAGGAACUAGGCAAAAUGGUGCCGUAACUUCGGGAGAAGGCACGCUGAUAUGUAGGUGAAGUCCCUCGCGGAUGGAGCUGAAAUCAGUCGAAGAUACCAGCUGGCUGCAACUGUUUAUUAAAAACACAGCACUGUGCAAACACGAAAGUGGACGUAUACGGUGUGACGCCUGCCCGGUGCCGGAAGGUUAAUUGAUGGGGUUAGCCGCAAGGCGAAGCUCUUGAUCGAAGCCCCGGUAAACGGCGGCCGUAACUAUAACGGUCCUAAGGUAGCGAAAUUCCUUGUCGGGUAAGUUCCGACCUGCACGAAUGGCGUAAUGAUGGCCAGGCUGUCUCCACCCGAGACUCAGUGAAAUUGAACUCGCUGUGAAGAUGCAGUGUACCCGCGGCAAGACGGAAAGACCCCGUGAACCUUUACUAUAGCUUGACACUGAAUAUUGAGCCUUGAUGUGUAGGAUAGGUGGGAGGCUUAGAAGUGUGGACGCCAGUCUGCAUGGAGCCGACCUUGAAAUACCACCCUUUAAUGUUUGAUGUUCUAACGUUGACCCGUAAUCCGGGUUGCGGACAGUGUCUGGUGGGUAGUUUGACUGGGGCGGUCUCCUCCUAAAGAGUAACGGAGGAGCACGAAGGUUGGCUAAUCCUGGUCGGACAUCAGGAGGUUAGUGCAAUGGCAUAAGCCAGCUUGACUGCGAGCGUGACGGCGCGAGCAGGUGCGAAAGCAGGUCAUAGUGAUCCGGUGGUUCUGAAUGGAAGGGCCAUCGCUCAACGGAUAAAAGGUACUCCGGGGAUAACAGGCUGAUACCGCCCAAGAGUUCAUAUCGACGGCGGUGUUUGGCACCUCGAUGUCGGCUCAUCACAUCCUGGGGCUGAAGUAGGUCCCAAGGGUAUGGCUGUUCGCCAUUUAAAGUGGUACGCGAGCUGGGUUUAGAACGUCGUGAGACAGUUCGGUCCCUAUCUGCCGUGGGCGCUGGAGAACUGAGGGGGGCUGCUCCUAGUACGAGAGGACCGGAGUGGACGCAUCACUGGUGUUCGGGUUGUCAUGCCAAUGGCACUGCCCGGUAGCUAAAUGCGGAAGAGAUAAGUGCUGAAAGCAUCUAAGCACGAAACUUGCCCCGAGAUGAGUUCUCCCUGACUCCUUGAGAGUCCUGAAGGAACGUUGAAGACGACGACGUUGAUAGGCCGGGUGUGUAAGCGCAGCGAUGCGUUGAGCUAACCGGUACUAAUGAACCGUGAGGCUUAACCUU
rnacentral:rRNA from 1 species